UCUUUUAGCUCAUUCAAUUGGAGGUUUUGAUCCGUGGAUAAAGAUACAAAAGUUUAUUUCUAAUCGUUACUAAAUCUUCCAUUUUUGGGUUUGUAGAGAGGAGAUUGAAGCCAAAUAGCUAUUAAACGAUGACUUUAGUUUACUAGAGCUAUCAA